AGCGAACGUUAGCGGCGGGCCUAACACAUGCAAGUCGAGCGAGAAAGGGGCUUCGGCCCUGAGUAAAGCGGCGGACGGGUGAGUAACACGUAGGUAAUCUUCCCUUGAGCGGGGGACAACGAUUCGAAAGGAUCGCUAAUACCGCAUAAGUUCUCAGAGACCCCGGUCUUUGAGAGGAAAGCUAGGCAGCAAUGUCCGGCACUCGAUGAGUAGCAUGCGUCGCAUCAGCUAGUUGGUGGGGUAACGGCCUACCAAGGCGAAGACGCGUAGCUGGUCUGAGAGGAUGAUCAGCCACACUGGGACUGAGACACGGCCCAGACUCCUACGGGAGGCAGCAGUGGGGAAUAUUGGACAAUGGGCGCAAGCCUGAUCCAGCCACGCCGCGUGAGUGAUGAAGGCCUUCGGGUCGUAAAGCUCUGUGGGGAGGGACGAACCGCUGCACGUUCAUAGCGUGCAGCAUGACGGUACCUCCUUAGCAAGCACCGGCUAACUUCGUGCCAGCAGCCGCGGUAACAC
rnacentral:rRNA from 1 species